GCAUCAGUGGUUUAGUGGUGUAAGUUUAACGUCAAGACCUUCCAGGUCAAUUCAAUAUUAACAAUACCACAGAAAAUCCAUCGUUGCCAUCGAUGGGCCCCGCGUUCGAUUCGCGGCUGAUGCA